UUGGAAAUUGUCAUAUUUUCUGUGGUUUUGUUGGUGUCACAAGAAGAAAAAGGGAAAUUUGUUUGCUAAAAUGUUAAUAUUAGACGAUAUGAAUUACAAGCUUAUAGAGUAGUGCAUUAAUUUCGUUUGAAUGAUUCAAAAAAAAAAAAAAUAACUUGUAAAGAAUCAUUCUACUACAUAAAAGCUGAAAGAGAGACUUGUAAUGACUGGAACCAAACAUGACAGUUUGAAGUUGAAUUCGAGGAGUAAAGGGAGAC
rnacentral:lncRNA from 1 species